CCUACGGUGGGCAGCAGUCGAGAAUCAUUCACAAUGGGGGAAACCCUGAUGGUGCGACGCCGCGUGGGGGAAUGAAGGUUUUGGGUUGUUAACUUCUUGUCAUGGGGGAGCACGUUAAAAAGGUAGUUCAACAAGAGGCAGAGACGGCUAACUCUGUGCCAGCCGCGGCGGUAAUACGGAGGUCUGAAGCGUUGGUCGGAACUACGGGGCGUAAAGGGUGAGUAGGCUGUUUAGUAAGUCGUGUGUGAAAGUCGCGAGCUCAACCCGCGGACGGCACAAGAUACUACGAGACUAGAGUAAUGGAGAGGGAACCGGAAUUCUCGGUGUAGCAGUGAAAUGCGUAGAUAUCGGGAGGAACACUAGGGGCGAAGGCGGGUUCCUGGACAUUAACUGACGCUGAGGCACGAAGGCCAGGGGAGCGAAAGGGAUUAGAUACCCCAGUAGUC
rnacentral:rRNA from 1 species